CUGGAAAUGGCAGUCUUCUAUUUAUCUACAGAAGAAGUAUAGCAUAUGGCAGUGCAAGCUUCCCCCACACUGCCUCACUAAUGUGCCACAGCCUUAUCCUGGGGGCACCACAUCAUUCUAGGGUAUGUCUACACUGCAAUUAGACACCGAUAGUUGGCCCCU
rnacentral:sRNA from 1 species